AUAUAUAUAUAUAUAUAUAAGGGAUAUAUAUCCAUAUAUAUAUAUAUAUGGAAAGAAAAAGAGGAUGUCUGAAAUACACUGAUAUAUAUGUAUAUCUCAGGUAUUUUACACAGACUGCUUGGUAAAUCCAAGAGAUGAUGGACUACCUGUAUGCACCUAUUACUGAGUCCAGCCUGCUGCUUGCCCAAAGGCAGCAAGAGCUGCUUUUUGGUGUAAGGAUGACAUGGCAUUGCAAAUGACUGGAUCAAGCAGUCCAGGAAUCUAAAUAUAAAUGAUAUGGUAGUUCUAAGUGCAUGUUGCUAACAUCUCUCUGUAAAGGUUUUUCCUUGCAUCUGUUCCCUCUGGUUGGAAGGAGGUCAAAUACAGAAGCACAAAGGAAAACCAAUAGUUAAGUAUGUAAACCUUUGCCAGCCACACAAACUCUAGCAGAGAACACCUUUCAAGCUAUAGUAAGACUAUCGUAUGGUGGAAUAUGCUCCUUAGGAGCUUUGUUAUCUAAAAGCUAUGCAGAAAUCUCAGUAAUUCUUGUGGCAACACUAUUUUAAUAUGGUGUCUGCCCCAAUCCUACGUCUGUAAGGCAGCACAGCAACUGUAACUCUUAAUGCAUUAAGUACAUAGGCUGUGAAUGUGGCACUAAGUGCCCAAAGUCUCUCUAGAAAUGAAAGUGUUUGCUAGUAAUGUUUUCUGGUAUAGAAAAUCUCAGCAGGUGUCGGGUUGCAUUCUACCAGGAAGAUGUCCAAGCUCACCUUCCUGCAUGGAGAGGCAGGGAACACAAACGAUUCUCCUGGGAUGUGGAUCACCACAGCAGCUAUAUUCUAUUUUCAGAGCUCUACUGGAAUGUUUCCAAGACCACCAUGACAAAACUGCUUCGGUAUGGGUGGUAAACAUGUCUCUACUGUUACUGCAGACUUUUCUGCUGUUUGCUAUGCAUUCUUUAGCUACUGUUUCUUGAGCGGAAGGAUUCUUUCUGCACUACCACCUCAUCCUUGGACCCCUCACUGGAUAUCCAUGUGGAAAAAAGGCAAACAAACCAUGUGCUCUGCUAAGCAGAUACCAUUUACAGGGUGGAACCUGCAGAUCAUCAAGUACCUGCUGAUGCCUUACCAACUGUAUGCAAAAAUCAAGGUGUAGUCAAGAGAAGAGCUCACCUUCUCAAAAGUCUACAUUCGUGAGCAACAAUUAGAACUUAUGCUCAGAUAACAGCUCUGGAGUAAGCAGAAUUCCUAUGCAUUCAACAGUAAAGUUAGCACAUCUGGAUGAAGCCCUACCAGAACAAUGGUGGUACUGCACUGUAAUUACAUGAAAGCAUUAUCUACUUCUCAACAUACAACCCCACAGCAGAUGUGCAGUCAUUCACUUUGAAAACGCUCCUGUAGGACUGCAAGUAUUCCAUGACAGAGCAUGACUUUUUGGGAGAACCUAUUCCUGCCUGCAGGAACCCACCAGCUUUCAGGCCUGGAAGGGCUCUCUCUUACUUAAGGUCAAAAAUGUCCUUGAAAAAAUAUUUUGAAUGACAUCCAAUUGUUACCUUGUGGUUCUAUGCAACAGUCUGGCUUGAGAUCGAUGGUGAAGUGCACACAGGGCACCAGGAAAACCUCAUUCUGCAACAAAUACACCUUGGGAGAGAUCAUCACGUAUCCUGCCUUUUAGCUACAGGAGAAAAGCAGUUUUAUUGAUGGUACAUUACUCUGAAUUUCAGUGGCGUCACCUGCACUGGAGCUGUACUUGGACUCCCACUGCCACUUUUGGUGAGGGAAUUUCUGCCACCUCCUCCAGCCCCCUGUGAAGACCCCACACACCCACCUUCCACAUUUUGGAUUGUACUUUAAUACUGUGCUCAUCUUGAUGGAGCCUCAUUCCUACUGAGCAUCCAAGAGAAGUGACAAAGUAGAACCUAAAGAGGCGCUGCCUUUCUGAAGAGUGCUUCCCAUGAGUUUCCUGAGCUACUAAGGAAUAUAAAUCUCCAGAAACACAGCUUGAAAGAAAUUAGGAGUCACUACUGCCCACUCAUGCAUGGAAUGAAGCACAUCUCCUGCAGAAAAGUAAAGUAUGUGAUCAUGAUUAAUAAUUUUGAACGUGAGCAAAGAAUGACAGGAAUGCAAAUUGGAGCAACUUCCUCUGCAUGUACUCAGUUUUCACGUUAAUAUUAAACUAUCUGCAUCUAAGUGAGCAUUCAUUCUUUAGUUCUCAAAGCAAACUACACAGAUGAAUGCUACGUAUUCUAUUCUAAAUUUAACUCCUUCUCUG
ensembl:lncRNA